CUAGCGUAUGGUCUAUGAUAAAUAAAUUAAUAAUACAUUUUUGUUUUGGUCAAAUUAAUCAUGAACAAGCAACAGAGUUAUUUAGCCAUUGGGUUCUUUAUGGUUUUGGUAAUCAAAGUUAUUGCAGGGUUUCGAAUUAAUGACCCAACUAUUAGCUUCGAAACAGUUUUGAAAGAGGUACAAGCAAAAUAUAAACAAAUAACUAAAGAAAACAUUGAUAAAGUUGUAAAGGAUGGAGAGAAAACUCCAGGCUUUCCGGAUAUAAACCGUAAAGAAAUUAUCUAUUUUUUUCACGCCGCAAAAUUUGAUGUACAAAAAACUGUUAAAUUGAUAGUCGAUCAUUAUGAUGUUCGGAAAAAUUUACCA